AACGAACGCUGGCGGCAGGCCUAACACAUGCAAGUCGAGCGAGCAUUUCGGUGCUAGCGGCGGACGGGUGAGUAACGCGUGGGAACGUGCCCUUUUCUGCGGAAUAGUCCUGGGAAACUGGGGGUAAUACCGCAUACGCCCUUUUGGGGAAAGAUUUAUCGGAGAAGGAUCGGCCCGCGUUGGAUUAGGUAGUUUGUGGGGUAAUGGCCCACCAAGCCGACGAUCCAUAGCUGGUUUGAGAGGAUGAUCAGCCACACUGGGACUGAGACACGGCCCAGACUCCUACGGGAGGCAGCAGUGGGGAAUCUUAGACAAUGGGGGCAACCCUGAUCUAGCCAUGCCGCGUGAGUGAUGAAGGCCUUAGGGUUGUAAAGCUCUUUCAGCUGGGAAGAUAAUGACGGUACCAGCAGAAGAAGCCCCGGCUAACUCCGUG
rnacentral:rRNA from 1 species